UACAGCAGCAGGCAGGCAGGUAAG
rnacentral:misc_RNA from 1 species